rnacentral:rRNA from 1 species
UACGUAGGCUGCGAGCGUUAAUCGGAUUUACUGGGCGUAAAGCGUGCGCAGGCGGCGCGUUAAGACAGGUGUGAAAUCCCUGGGCUCAACCUAGGAAUUGCGCUUGUGACUGGCGGGCUCGAGUACGGUAGAGGGAGGUGGAAUUCCUGGUGUAGCAGUGAAAUGCGUAGAGAUCAGGAGGAACACCGAUGGCGAAGGCAGCCCACUGGGCCUGUACUGACGCUCAUGCACGAAAGCGUGGGGAGCAAACAGG